rnacentral:rRNA from 1 species
UACGUAGGUGGCAAGCGUUGUCCGGAUUUACUGGGCGUAAAGAGCGCGCAGGCGGCCAAGUCAGUCGGAUGUGAAAGCCCCCGGCUCAACUGGGGAGGGUCAUUCGAUACUGCUCGGCUCGAAGACAGGAGAGGGAAGUGGAAUUCCCGGUGUAGUGGUGAAAUGCGUAGAUAUCGGGAGGAACACCAGUGGCGAAGGCGACUUUCUGGCCUGUUCUUGACGCUGAGGCGCGAAAGCUAGGGGAGCAAACGGG